ACUCCGGUUAACUGGAUUCAAGAAGCCAACGUGCCUGUCCAGCUUGGAUUGUAAGAAAACAAACAAACAAAUAUUAACGAAUAAAACAGUAUGUGAUAAUGUAAAGAGGUAACGAUAUACGACCUCGUCUCUGGGGACCAGGGCUCUUUUUGAUAUUAUUAUACAAUAUAGGGGUUCUAGACAUUGUGGGAUGAAGUUUGUAUAAGAUUGCUUUUGUUUCACGUGCAAAAAAAAAAAAAAAACUAAUGUUGUUUCAGUUGUUUUACCCUUUUUAUCCUAAAUAAUGAAUUUCUUCUAACCAUUUUGUUGUGUGUAUAUAUAUCCCUAUCCUUUUUCUGUUACAAUAUGAACUAAAUAAUAUGAUUGAUAGAUAAAACUUCGUAAAAACAAACAAACCAAUAUAUUUAUCUACAAUUUAUGUGUAAACAUGUACUAGCUAGUUUUCUUCAAAAAAAUAUGUACUAGCUAGUUUGAUAAAAUAUAAACCAAAUACACAUCUAACGCCCGUUGAUAAAAAUAAUGUUUGAUGUGUUUCUUUUAAUUUUUGUUUGGUUUUCAAAUAGAUUUCGCUUCUGUUUUUAAUUUGGUUUCGAUGGGGAGCCAUAUAAUAUAACUCUCAGGUGCAAUAUAUCAGAAACUACCGGUUAGCAGUGACCAGAGGGGACAACUUAUAUGUCAGGAGGUGUAAUCUUACCUCUAUUCAACUCCAAUACAGGAAUCAGAAUCAAGACUUCUCCUGGAAGAGGAGGGUACGUUAGAAACGUUCAUGUAUCAAACGUGAAGCUAGAUAAUGUGCAGAAAGCUAUCAGGUGCACUGGUAAGUAUGGUGAACAUCAUGAGAUUUGAUCCUACAGCACGUCCGGCUAUAUAGAGAGUCACGUUUGAGAAUGUUGAUGGUGAAGGUAUUGGUGUUGCGGGUCUUAGUGAAUGUAUAGAAUUAGAUGAAUUUAAGAAUAUAUGUUCCUUAAUGUUACUAUAUUACGGUGAAGAAUAAUCCCUAAUAAAGAAGAACUCGAAGAAAGCUCCAUGGAGAUGCUCAAAUGUUAGAGACUAUUCACACCGUGUGAACGGAGACCGUGCAGUCAUAUUCAACUGUAGAUUUGACGCUUUCCAAGACACACUCUACGUCAACAACGGACGUCAGUUCUACAGGAACAUUGUUGUGUCCGGUACAGUCGAUUUCAUCUUUGGAAAGUCCGCGACCGUGAUCCAAAACUCUCUAAUCCUCAUCCGAAAGGGUAGCCAGGGACAGGCCCAUUACGUUACAGCCGACGGUAACGAGAAAGGUGCAGCAGUCAAGAUCGGUAUCGUUCUUCAGAACUGCCGUAUCAUGGCUGACAAAGACCUCGAAGCUGAAAAGCUAACCACCAAAUCGUACCUAGGACGGCCGUGGAAGAAAUUUUCCACCACCGUAAUUAUUGGAACUGAGAUUAGUGAUGUGAUUAAGCCAGAAGGAUGGUCCGAAUGGAAAGGAGAAGCUAACCACAAAACCGCUAAAUACAUUGAGUUCAAUAACCGUGGACCAGGAGCUAACACUGCUGCUAGGGUUCCUUGGGCCACGAUCGCUAAGUCUGCGGCUGAGGUUGAAGGUUUCACCGUCGCUAAAUGGUUGACUCCGGUUAACUGGAUUCAAGAAGCCAACGUGCCUGUCCAGCUUGGAUUGUAAGAAAACAAACAAACAAAUAUUAACGAAUAAAACAGUAUGUGAUAAUGUAAAGAGGUAACGAUAUACGACCUCGUCUCUGGGGACCAGGGCUCUUUUUGAUAUUAUUAUACAAUAUAGGGGUUCUAGACAUUGUGGGAUGAAGUUUGUAUAAGAUUGCUUUUGUUUCACGUGCAAAAAAAAAAAAAAAACUAAUGUUGUUUCAGUUGUUUUACCCUUUUUAUCCUAAAUAAUGAAUUUCUUCUAACC
rnacentral:lncRNA from 1 species